rnacentral:misc_RNA from 1 species
UUAAUUUAUAUUUUAUAAGCAGAGGUUUAUUAUUAAUAAUAAAAGAAAAAGAACUUAACAUGAUCUUGUCCACCUAAACUCUAGUCUAUAGCUUGUCCAUGUAAACCCUGGUUGAUAGACUGCCCUAUAACAUCUGACUAGGACAUGGCAUACUAAUUGUUCUGUUAGCAUCUGUAUUCUAUGAAAUUGAAACUUGCUUAUGUGGCAUUGAAAAUCAUGUACUUUGAAAUUCCAUGGUGCACUCUAUGGAUUUAUUCAAUUUCUCACCACUUAAAAGGCAAAGUUGUCAAGUGCUGUGCAUCUGAAACUUUCAUCCCAAGUUGCAGAAAAAAUGAUCACUAAGAAAUGACUGUCAUCAGAUGUGACAAAUGAGUUAUUUAUGAGAUUGGAGAAAUCUGAACGUUGUGUUCAUUUGCUGUUACUUUCUCCUCUAUCUUCUUAUGCCACCUAGGAUGACAAUCCUCAAUCAGGAACUUAAUAUUAGAUUCUCUUUAUAGUGAUCCCAUCUGGGAUCAACUCCAAAUAAGGGAACUGAUCCUACACGAGUUUCUUCUAGUAUAUGAUCUUAUGAUCACUUAAUUUAAACAUUAAUAAUUUCUGUUCCAUUUGAUUUAGCUUUUCGCAAGAACAUAACAUCUAAG